rnacentral:rRNA from 1 species
AUGAACGCUGGCGGCGUGCCUAACACAUGCAAGUCAAGGAGAAACAGGUAGCAAUAUCUGGAGUAAACUGGCGAACGGGUGAGUAACACGUAGACAACUUACCUUACAAACGGGAAUAACUCCGCGAAAGCGGUGCUAAUACCCGAUAUUGCUCGGAUGUGGCAUCACAACCGAGUGAAAGGUCGUGAGACGUUGUAAGAUGGGUCUGCGUCCCAUUAGAUAGUUGGCGGGGUAAUGGCCCACCAAGUCGACGAUGGGUAGCUGGUCUGAGAGGACGAUCAGCCACACUGGAACUGAGACACGGUCCAGACUUCUACGGAAGGCAGCAGUGAGGAAUAUUGCUCAAUGGGCGAAAGCCUGAAGCAGCGACGCCGCGUGAGGGAUGAAAUCCGUUAGGAUGUAAACCUCUUUUCUGAGGGACGAAAAGGUCACUUUAAGUGACCGAUGACGGUACCUCAGGAAUAAGGAUCGGCCAACUACGU